UGUCCCGAACUGUUCAUCAGUUCCUAAUGGCUUCUGUCUUUCUUUAAGAGAGGAAAAGGGCCGUUAUUCAUCCUUGAAUCACUAGUGCCCAGACUGCCAGGCUCAGCAAAGGCAACGAAUAAAUAAACGAGGCCUGGGAGUGCAGCAUCAUGGUCAGCUUCCCGCAUUUGUGCCAGCUUCCAGCAGAGAGCCAAGAGAGCAUUCUCCCAGCGUGCGCUGCAAGCUCCCACCCACUGACUACACAUUCCUCCUGCACCAAUCCUUGCCUUCCACUGAGGCUUGCUCGGAGAUUCGAGGAACAGUGGCAGUCUCCAGCAGUAUACCAGGCAGCGGAAUGAGCAAAGGAAAAGGUCCCUCGAAGCACACAGCAUCCCGAGUGAUGCCCACAGCAUCCCGAGUGACUCGCGCAGUCCCAAAGACAGCGUUGACCCACUGAGUCUUUAAGUAUCUGCUCUAUCAAACCAGCCCCUCACGGACCCUGGACACCUGACAUCCAGCAAGCAUUGGGGACCACUCUGUAAACAGCAUCCUAACUAGUCACCUGACUCAUUCUCUGUUCUGCAAACCUGGGAAUCUGAGGGCGGCAGCAUUCACACACAGUGAGAGCCUGGGCUCUGCUCUCAGGACCUGCAAGUCUCAGGUGCCUUCACCUCCACUACAUCUGCACUGCCCUCGCUGCAGUGAGUAGACCAGACCCGCUUCUGCCCCGCCCACUCGGAUCUCUGCGGGCUACGCCCCCGCUGUUCUCUUCCUUCCCCUCUGUCCCUCCAUCCUCUCUUCACCUUCUGGCAUUUUCCACUCUGACACUGACCUUUGCGUUGACACAGUCAGUCAAUAUGUGAAACCCUUGCUUUUCUCAACCUAAAAU
rnacentral:lncRNA from 1 species